rnacentral:rRNA from 1 species
GUAGUCUCGCACAGAUGCAUAUCAAUAAGCGGAGGAAAAGAAACUAACAAGGAUUCCCCUAGUAACGGCGAGUGAAGCGGGAAGAGCUCGAAUUUGAAAUCUUAAAGGGUUUCCCUUUACGAAUUGUAGUUUAAAGAAGUGUUUUCUGUUGAGGUUUUGGUAAAAGUUCUUUGGAAUAGGACAUCAUAGAGGGUGAGAAUCCCGUAUUUGACCUUUACUUUCAACUUUGUGAUACACUUUCAAAGAGUCGGAUUGUUUGGGAAUGCAGUCCAAAAUGGGUGGUAAAUUUCAUCUAAAGCUAAAUAUUGGCGAGAGACCGAUAGCGAACAAGUACCGUGAGGGAAAGAUGAAAAGAACUUUGAAAAGAGAGUUAAACAGUACGUGAAAUUGUCAAAAGGGAAGCGUUUGACACCAGUGUUGUUUUUCUGAAAAUCAAUUAAAGAACUGUUUAUGCUAAGCUUGUUUAGACUUUAUCAGCUAAUCUGUUUAGUUUUGAGCUUUUCUUUAAUGCACUUUUCAGUUAACAAGUCAACAUCAAUUUCUUUUGCUGUAAAAAAGCUUGAGGAAGGUGGCUUGAGAUUCGUCUUAAGUGUUUAUAGCCUCUUGCCUAUGCAGUCGGAGAGAUUGAGGUCUGCAGCGUAGAUCCUUCGGGGCUAAAUGCAUUUGUGCUAAGUUAUAGCAUUUUAUAGACAACUUGUUGACUAUGAUUUGUCUUGUAGCUUACUCGCUUAUGUUAUUUUACCUACGCUUAGGAUGUUGAUCUGUAGUGCGUGCGCA